rnacentral:rRNA from 1 species
UACGUAGGGUGCAAGCGUUAAUAGGAAUUACUGGGCGUAAAGCGUGCGCAGGCGGUUGUGCAAGACAGAUGUGAAAUCCCCGGGCUUAACCUGGGAAUUGCAUUUGUGACUGCACGGCUAGAGUGUGUCAGAGGGGGGUAGAAUUCCACGUGUAGCAGUGAAAUGCGUAGAUAUGUGGAGGAAUACCGAUGGCGAAGGCAGCCCCCUGGGAUAACACCGACGCUCAUGCACGAAAGCGUGGGGAGCAAACAGG